UGCACCGAAGCUGCGGCAGCGACACUGUGUGUUGUUGGGUAGGGGAGCGUUCUGUAAGCCUGCGAAGGUGGCCUGUGAGGGUUGCUGGAGGUAUCAGAAGUGCGAAUGCUGACAUAAGUAACGAUAAAGCGGGUGAAAAGCCCGCUCGCCGGAAGACCAAGGGUUCCUGUCCAACGUUAAUCGGGGCAGGGUGAGUCGACCCCUAAGGCGAGGCCGAAAGGCGUAGUCGAUGGGAAACGGGUUAAUAUUCCCGUACUUGGUGUUACUGCGAAGGGGGGACGGAGAAGGCUAUGUUGGCCGGGCGACGGUUGUCCCGGUUUAAGCGUGUAGGUGUGUGUUCCAGGUAAAUCCGGUUCACUUUAACACUGAGGCGUGACGACGAGGCACUACGGUGCUGAAGCAACAAAUGCCCUGCUUCCAGGAAAAGCCUCUAAGCAUCAGGUAACAUCAAAUCGUACCCCAAACCGACACAGGUGGUCAGGUAGAGAAUACCAAGGCGCUUGAGAGAACUCGGGUGAAGGAACUAGGCAAAAUGGUGCCGUAACUUCGGGAGAAGGCACGCUGACACGUAGGUGAAGUGAUUUACUCAUGGAGCUGAAGUCAGUCGAAGAUACCAGCUGGCUGCAACUGUUUAUUAAAAACACAGCACUGUGCAAACACGAAAGUGGACGUAUACGGUGUGACGCCUGCCCGGUGCCGGAAGGUUAAUUGAUGGGGUCAGCGCAAGCGAAGCUCCUGAUCGAAGCCCCGGUAAACGGCGGCCGUAACUAUAACGGUCCUAAGGUAGCGAAAUUCCUUGUCGGGUAAGUUCCGACCUGCACGAAUGGCGUAAUGAUGGCCAGGCUGUCUCCACCCGAGACUCAGUGAAAUUGAACUCGCUGUGAAGAUGCAGUGUACCCGCGGCAAGACGGAAAGACCCCGUGAACCUUUACUAUAGCUUGACACUGAACAUUGAGCCUUGAUGUGUAGGAUAGGUGGGAGGCUUUGAAGUGUGGACGCCAGUCUGCAUGGAGCCGACCUUGAAAUACCACCCUUUAAUGUUUGAUGUUCUAACGUGGACCCGUUACCCGGGUUGCGGACAGUGUCUGGUGGGUAGUUUGACUGGGGCGGUCUCCUCCUAAAGAGUAACGGAGGAGCACGAAGGUUGGCUAAUCCUGGUCGGACAUCAGGAGGUUAGUGCAAUGGCAUAAGCCAGCUUGACUGCGAGCGUGACGGCGCGAGCAGGUGCGAAAGCAGGUCAUAGUGAUCCGGUGGUUCUGAAUGGAAGGGCCAUCGCUCAACGGAUAAAAGGUACUCCGGGGAUAACAGGCUGAUACCGCCCAAGAGUUCAUAUCGACGGCGGUGUUUGGCACCUCGAUGUCGGCUCAUCACAUCCUGGGGCUGAAGUAGGUCCCAAGGGUAUGGCUGUUCGCCAUUUAAAGUGGUACGCGAGCUGGGUUUAGAACGUCGUGAGACAGUUCGGUCCCUAUCUGCCGUGGGCGCUGGAGAACUGAGGGGGGCUGCUCCUAGUACGAGAGGACCGGAGUGGACGCAUCACUGGUGUUCGGGUUGUCAUGCCAAUGGCACUGCCCGGUAGCUAAAUGCGGAAGAGAUAAGUGCUGAAAGCAUCUAAGCACGAAACUUGCCCCGAG
rnacentral:rRNA from 1 species